UACGUAGGCAGCGAGCGUUGUUCGGAAUUACUGGGCGUAAAGAGUGUGUAGGCGGUGCUCUAAGUUCGGUGUGAAAUCUCCUGGCUCAACUGGGAGGGUGCGCCGGAAACUGGAGUGCUUGAGCGUGGGAGAGGAAAGCGGAAUUCCUGGUGUAGCGGUGAAAUGCGUAGAUAUCAGGAGGAACACCAGUGGUGUAGACGGCUUUCUGGACCAUAGCUGACGCUGAGACACGAAAGCGUGGGUAGCAAACAGG
rnacentral:rRNA from 1 species